ACAGUACAAACUGAACAGGCCAUAAAUUAUUUGAUUUAUGGGGCCGGGCCGUUUUUCGGCAGCAGAUGAAUGCACAUCUGUGGGACAGU
rnacentral:ncRNA from 1 species